AAAGGAAUAGACGGGACCCCGCACAAGCGGUGGAUCAUGUUGUUUAAUUCGAGGAUACGCGAAGAACCUUACCAGGCCUUGACAUACCGUGCGAAGCUAUAGAGAUAUAGUGAAGGCUAACACGGAUACAGGUGGUGCAUGGUUGUCGUCAGCUCGUGUCGUGAGAUGUUGGGUUAAGUCCCGCAACGAGCGCAACCCUCAUUGCUAGUUGCCAUCAUUAAGUUGGGGACUCUAGCGAGACUGCCAGUGACAAACUGGAGGAAGGUGGGGAUGACGUCAAAUCAUCAUGCCCCUUAUGGCCUGGGCUACAAACGUGAUACAAUGGCUGAAACAAAGGGAAGCGAAGGGGUGACCUGGAGCAAAACUCACAAAAGCAGUCUCAGUUCGGAUUGAAGUCUGCAACUCGACUUCAUGAAGUCGGAAUCGCUAGUAAUCGCAGAUCAGAAUGCUGCGGUGAAUACGUUCCCGGGGUUUGUACACACCGCCCGU
rnacentral:rRNA from 1 species